rnacentral:rRNA from 1 species
AAAUCAUUUACAAUAGCCGUAAGGAAUAUUCCACAUGUUAAAAAAUCCAUAGUAGACAAAAAUAUGAAAUUUAAAUGUAGUGACCAAGAGCUACCCGCAAUAUCUAAAACAACCGAAUGGAAGUAUUUAGGGAUCUCAUUUACACCCGAAGGUGCUAACCUGCGGGAUCUUAAACCAAAGCUGCAUUCAAUCAUCGAGAAACUUACUAAAGCACCUCUCAAGCCGCAACAAAGACUUUUUGCCUUAACAACGGUUGGAAUCCCGAAGUUGCUCCAUGAGUUAACAUUGGGGAAUACCACAUUGAGUCUGCUCAAGUCCCUCGACAACAUUGUGAGGAAGGCAGUAAGAACGUGGCUGAGGCUGCCCCAUGACUGUGUCUCUGCGUACUUCCACGCUAACUAUAAAGAUGGAGGUCUGUCCCUUCCGUCCUUGCGAUGGACUGUACCACUUAGAAGGAAAAUGAGACUGGCAAAGCUAGAAAUGUCAGAAAGCAACUUUCUCCAACUCGAGGUUGCUCAAUGUGAGAAAAGACUAAAUGACACAAACUCGACCAUAGCAUCAUUGAAACAAUUAGAUGAAAGGUGGGCCCGCUUACUCCAUUCUUCAGUAGACGGAAACCCACUAAGUAAGUCUAGAAAAGUUCCCCAACAAUAUCGAUGGGUCGUAGAGGUUAACAGACUCUUAACAGGCAAGGAUUUCAUCAAUUGCAUGAAAAUAAGAAUCAACGCCCUACCUACUAGAAGCAGAACAACGAGGGGAAGGAUUGAAGACAGGCUAUGUCGAGCUGGUUGCAACACUCCGGAAUCGCUCGAUCAUGUUUUACAGACCUGUCACCGUAGUCAUAAAUCUAGGAUUGAUAGACAUAACGCGGUCAUCAACUAUCUCAAAAGAGCGCUUGAGAAAAACUAUGCUCAAGUUUACGCCGAACCAACAUUUAAAACGGCCAAAGGUAACAGAAAACCAGACCUAAUAGCAAUUCAGGACAACCGGGCACUUCUCUUGGACGCUCAAGUUGUCGGGGGCUCCACCGAUUUGGGAGCAGCGCACAAUAGGAAAAUGAGAUAUUACCAGAUCUGGUUGAGAAAAUUAAAACGAGAUACAAUACGACUGACGUUAAGAUUAACACAAUAACAUUGAACAACAGGGGUGUCUGGAGCAAAGCAUUGGCUAACUUUUUAGUAGAAGAAAAAAUUCUCAAGAAAGACGAACUGAAAAUAAUAUCCGCCAGAGUCCUUAUUGGCGGGCUAAUGGGGUUUGGGAGGUGGACAAAGAGUACGAGUCAUCGUCGUAUAAGAGAAGGAAUCGGAUAGAUCCCAAGACUCAAGCCAGAUAUUAAGCGUGCUGCAUAGCGCUAACAUCCUUCAGGCACAAUACUAGAAGCUAGGUUUAGUGGGUAUUGCCUUCGGGUCGAGUCCCACACUACCUGGUCAACCUGGCGACCGGUGUGCGUAAAUGCAUUCCCCUCAAAAAAAAAAGCCAAAUGCCUCGUCUUGUAACUAGUGACGCGCAUGAACGAGAUUCCCACUGUCCCUAUCUACAUUCUAGCGAACUGCCAAGGGAACGGGAUUGGAAAAAUUAGCGGGGAAAGAAGACCCUGUUGAGCUUGACUCUAGUCUGGCAUUGUAAGGAGACAUGAAAGGUGUAGCAUAAGUGGGAGAUAGUAAUAUCGUCGGUGAAAUACCACUACUUUUAUCGUUUCUUUACUUACUCGAUUGGGCAGAAAGCGUGCGUCGAAAACUUGCGUUCCAACUGUCACGGUUUUCUAGAGCCAAGCGCAUAAGAGUGGUGUGAGGCAUUGCGCCGAUCGCCAACAAUACUCUAGCGUGAUCCGAUUCGAGGAAACUGCUAGGCGGGGAGUUCGACUGGGGCGGUACAUCUGUCAAACAAUAACGCAGGUGUCCUAAGGCCAGCUCAGCGAGGACAGAAACCUCGCGUAGAGCAAAAGGGCAAAUGCUGGCUUGAUCCCGUUGUUCAGUGUGCACAGGGACUGCGAAAGCAUGGCCUAUCGAUCUUUUUGGCUUGAAGAGUUUCAGGUGUCAGAAAAGUUACCACAGGGAUAACUGGCUUGUGGCAGCCAAGCGUUCAUAGCGACGUUGCUUUUUGAUCUUUCGAUGUCGGCUCUUCCUAUCAUUGCGAAGCAGAAUUCGCCAAGCGUUGGAUUGUUCACCCACAAAUAGGGAACGUGAGCUGGGUUUAGACCGUCGUGAGACAGGUUAGUUUUACCCUACUGAUGAAUCGUCGUUGCGAUAGUAAUCCUGCUCAGUACGAGAGGAACCCAGGUCCGGACAUUUGGUUCACGCACUUGGUCGAGCGGCCGGUGGUGCAAAGCUACCAUCCGCGGGAUUAUGCCUGAACGCCUCUAAGGCCGUAUCCUUUCUAGACAAAGUAAGCAACGAUAUCUCUAGAAGUCUCGUGAGUCAAAAGGCUCAAUACAAUGUGAUUUAUUAGGUAUUCGGCACACGCCGUUUAUCGCACGAGCCAUUUUUAGCCGAAUGAGGCGCUG